GACAGAGGAGCCAAGCGUUGUCCGGACUGACUGGGCGUAAAGCGCACGCAGGCGGCGCUGUGCGUGGGGUGUGAAAGCUCUUGGCUUAACUGAGAGAGGCCAUCCCCAUACGGCAGCGCUCGAGCGGUGCAGAGGUCCGCGGAAUUGCCGGUGUAGUGGUGAAAUGCGUAGAGAUCGGCAGGAACAGCCCAGGGGGAAACCAGCGGACUGGGCAUCGGCUGACGCUGCAGGUGCGACGAGCGUGGGGAGCGGAACCGG
rnacentral:rRNA from 1 species